rnacentral:other from 1 species
GCACCCCUGCGGUAUUCGAUAGCAGAUCGGGAUAUUCUUGAGCCGUAAACCAUCCCCUGGGAGCUGAUGUACGGCAUUGUGUGCAUGUCCGCUCGAACGGAAAGCCUGAUAUGCCUAUGACGCGCCCACCUUGAACCCCAGGUUCAAGACGAAGAUCGCAACGGUACAGGUGGGGGUGCC